GAAGUGGAGAACCGUUACCAAGGAAACCCUCUGAAAGGAACGUGUUACUACACCCUGCUGAUAGACUACCAGUUCACCUUCAGUCUGUCUCAGGAGGACGACCGCUACUACACCUCCAUCAACUUUGUAGCCACACCCGAGGAGCAGAAUCGUGAUCUGGUUGUUUUCAUUAACGCCUCCAAGAACUUCAACCUCAACAUCACCUGGGCCGCCAGCUUCACAG